rnacentral:rRNA from 1 species
GCAGCCGCCGCGGUAAAACGGAGGGUGCAAGCGUUAAUCGGAAUUACUGGGCGUAAAGCGCACGCAGGCGGUUUGUUAAGUCAGAUGUGAAAUCCCCGAGCUUAACUUGGGAACUGCAUUUGAAACUGGCAAGCUAGAGUCUUGUAGAGGGGGGUAGAAUUCCAGGUGUAGCGGUGAAAUGCGUAGAGAUCUGGAGGAAUACCGGUGGCGAAGGCGGCCCCCUGGACAAAGACUGACGCUCAGGUGCGAAAGCGUGGGGAGCAAACAGGAUUAGAUACCCGCGUAGUCCCUGUCUCUUAUAC